UACGAAGGGGGCUAGCGUUGCUCGGAAUCACUGGGCGUAAAGCGCACGUAGGCGGCUUUUUAAGUCAGGGGUGAAAUCCUGGAGCUCAACUCCAGAACUGCCUUUGAUACUGAGAAGCUUGAGUCCGGGAGAGGUGAGUGGAACUGCGAGUGUAGAGGUGAAAUUCGUAGAUAUCUGGAGGAACACCGGUGGCGAAGGCGGCAUUCUGGACCAUUACUGACGCUGAGGAGCGAAAGCCAGGGGAGCAAAGCGGG
rnacentral:rRNA from 1 species